ACCCAGCUGACGAGUCCCAAAAUAAGACGAAACGUGCAUUCUGGAU
rfam:Schistosoma rodhaini strain Burundi genome assembly, scaffold: SROB_scaffold0000575